CGCGUAGACGGCUGUCUAAGUCUGGAGUGAAAGUCCUGCUUUCAAGGUGGGAAUUGCUUUGGAGACUGGAUGGCUUGAGUGCGGAAGAGGUAAGUGGAAUUCCCAGUGUAGCGGUGAAAUGCGUAGAGAUUGGGAGGAACACCAGUGGCGAAGGCGACUUACUGGCCGUAACUGACGUUGAUGCGCGAAAGCGUGGGGAGCGAACA
rnacentral:rRNA from 1 species